GCAGUGGUGGUUCAGUGGUAGAAUUCUUGCCUUCCAUGCAGCAGACCCGGGUUCAGUUCCCUGCCAAUGUA
rfam:Loxodonta africana unplaced genomic scaffold scaffold_8, whole genome shotgun sequence.